AUUGAACGCUGGCGGAAUGCUUUACACAUGCAAGUCGAGCGGCAGCACGGGGGCAACCCUGGUGGCGAGCGGCGAACGGGUGAGUAAUACAUCGGAACAUGCCCAGUCGUGGGGGAUAACACUUCGAAAGAAGUGCUAAUAACGCAUACGUCCUGAGGGAGAAAGCGGGGGAUCUUCGGACCUCGCCCGAUUGGAGUGGCCGAUGUCAGAUUAGGUAGUGGGUGGGGUAAAGGCCUACCAAGGCAACGAUCUGUAGCUGGUCUGAGAGGAUGAUCAGCCACACUGGGACUGAGACACGGCCCAGACUCCUACGGGAGGCAGCAGUGGGGAAUUUUGGACAAUGGGGGCAACCCUGAUCCAGCCAUUCCGCGUGAGUGAAGAAGGCCUUCGGGUUGUAAAGCUCUUUCGGCAGGAACGAAACGGCGAGCUCUAACAUAGCUUGCUAAUGACGGUACCUGAAGAAGAAGCACCGGCUAACUACGUGCCAGCCGCCGCAGUAAAAC
rnacentral:rRNA from 1 species